UUGGCCUCCUCCAGGAUGGACAGAGGAUGUCAAAGUAUCAAAAGGAAGAAAAAUCAAGUACUAUACAAAUGGGGAGACUGGGAAAAAGUUUUAUUCCAAGAAGGAAGUAGCUCGGUACUUGAAGACGAAAGAUACUUGCGAUGAUGUAACUCAAGCAAUGAAUAUUCAAGGUAAGAGCUUCUCUGAGAACAAUGUUAGUGAUAUGG
rnacentral:misc_RNA from 1 species